GAUCACGGUGAUGACCCCAUAAAAUUCAAGCUCAACAGACCGGAAUGCAGGGUUCUCUCUCUAUUGGGAUGAUACUUUGCGUGUCGACCACCCCGCUGACCUGAGUGAUC